AUUGAACGCUGGCGGCAGGCCUAACACAUGCAAGUCGAGCGGAUGAAGGGAGCUUGCUCCUGGAUUCAGCGGCGGACGGGUGAGUAAUGCCUAGGAAUCUGCCUGGUAGUGGGGGAUAACGUCCGGAAACGGGCGCUAAUACCGCAUACGUCCUGAGGGGGACAGUGGGGGAUCUUCGGACCUCACGCUAUCAGAUGAGCCUAGGUCGGAUUAGCUAGUUGGUGGGGUAAAGGCCUACCAAGGCGACGAUCCGUAACUGGUCUGAGAGGAUGAUCAGUCACAUUGGAACUGAGACACGGUCCAGACUCCUACGGGAGGCAGCAGUGGGGAAUAUUGGACAAUGGGCGGAAGCCUGAUCCAGCCAUGCCGCGUGUGUUAAGAAGGUCUUCGGAUUGUAAAGCACUUUAAGUUGGGAGGAAGGGCAGUAAGUUAAUACCAUGCUGUUUUGACGUUACCAACAGAAUAAGCACCGGCUAACUUCGUG
rnacentral:rRNA from 1 species